UUUUUCUAUAUGUGGAAGUGAAAGAAGAUACUCUGGAAAAUUAACCGUGGGACUACCAGUGAAGAUUUAUCAGGAAACACCGCUGUGGCAUGCAGCAAUUUUCUGAACCUGACAAGCUAACUUUUGCCACUAUGCUGACCGCACUGACUGCCAUUAUAUUGAUGUUAUCGUUGGGCGCGCUAAUUUGGCUGAAGCUGAGGCAACUGGCUGACGUACGGAGUCUUCUAUCUGGAACUACAAGUGCUGGUACAGUGAGCAUUUGAGCUGACAUCCUCAGACAACUUCUCUGUGCAUCAGCUGUCAGAACUA